rnacentral:sRNA from 1 species
CUCCAUUACCACAGUGAAUCAACUGGUCACAUCAAGGAGGGCCUGGAGCUGGGCAUUAGUGCUGGUGCAGAGAGGCUAAAUCAUCCUCAACUCUAUGCACAAGUACCAGCCACGGCUCCACAUCGUUAAGGCUGAUGAGAACAAUGCUUUCGGCUCCAAAAACACUGCUUUCUGCACCCACGUGUUCCCAGAGACCUCCUUCAUCUCUGUGACCUCCUACCAGAAUCACAAGAUCACCCAGCUGAAAAUUGAGAACAACCCUUUUGCCAAGGGAUUCCGGGGCAGUGAUGACAGUGACCUGCGUGUGGCCCGACUGCAGAGCAAAGAAUACCCCGUGAUUUCCAAAAGCAUCAUGAGGCAGAGGCUCAUCUCCCCCCAGCUCUCAGCCACACCAGAUGUGGGCCCCCUGCUCGGCACCCACCAGGCACUCCAGCACUACCAGCACGAGAACGGGGCACACUCACAGCUCGCGGAGCCGCAGGACCUGCCCCUCAGCACCUUUCCCACCCAGAGGGACUCAAGCCUCUUCUAUCACUGCCUGAAAAGACGAGGUUGUCUACGGCUGCUUUCAUGGUACAACAGCAGAGUUUCGUAGUUGCAACAGAUACCCUGCGGCCCACAAAGCCUAAGAUAUUUACUAUCUGGUCCUUUGCAGAAAGUUUGCCCAGUCUUGACCUAGAGCUGGAGUGCAAUGGUGCAAUCUGGGCUCACUGCAACCUCUGCCUCCCGAAUUCAAGUGAUUCUCCUGCCUCAGCCUCCCCAGUAGCUGAGAUUACAGCAGACGGUACCCGCCACCUGGACUUACCUUGCAAGCGAUCCUAUCUGGAAGCCCCCUCUUCGGUGGGGGAGGAUCACUAUUUCUGUUCCCCCCCUCCCUACGACCAGCAAAUGCUGAGCCCCUCCUACUGCAGUGAGGUGACCCCCAGAGAAGCAUUGUCGCCGUACACCAGCUAUAGCGUGCAGACGAUGGAGACUGUGCCGUACCAGCCCUUCCCCACGCACUUCACCGCCACCACCAUGAUGCCGCGGCUGCCCACCCUCUCCGCUCAGAGCUCCCAGCCACCAGGAAAUGCCCACUUCAGUGUCUACAAUCAGCUCUCCCAGUCUCAGGUCCGAGAGCGGGGGCCCAGCACCUCAUUCCCAAGAGAGCGCGGCCUCC